UACGUAGGGUGCAAGCGUUAUCCGGAAUUAUUGGGCGUAAAGAGCUCGUAGGCGGUUUUGUCGCGUCUGCUGUGAAAACUGGGGGCUCAACCCCCCAGCCUGCAGUGGGUACGGGCAGACUAGAGUGCGGUAGGGGAGAUUGGAAUUCCUGGUGUAGCGGUGGAAUGCGCAGAUAUCAGGAGGAACACCGAUGGCGAAGGCAGAUCUCUGGGCCGUAACUGACGCUGAGGAGCGAAAGCAUGGGGAGCGAACAGG
rnacentral:rRNA from 1 species